rnacentral:tRNA from 1 species
CGGGUCGGUGGCCGGCUCGGCGGCAGCCGCCGAUCGCCGUGGCGGGCGGCAGGGGGCGCGGCGAUCGUGGCGCCGCCGGUGCGGC